GACGAACGCUGGCGGCGUGCUUAACACAUGCAAGUCGAACGGAAAGGCCCUGCUUUUGUGGGGUGCUCGAGUGGCGAACGGGUGAGUAACACGUGAGUAACCUGCCCUUGACUUUGGGAUAACUUCAGGAAACUGGGGCUAAUACCGGAUAGGAGCUCCUGCUGCAUGGUGGGGGUUGGAAAGUUUCGGCGGUUGGGGAUGGGCUCGCGGCUCAACAGCUUGUUGGUGGGGUAGUGGCUUACCAAGGCUUUGACGGGUAGCCGGCCUGAGAGGGUGACCGGCCGCAUUGGGACUGAGAUACGGCCGAGGCUCCUACGGGAGGCAGCAGAGGGGAAUAUUGCACAAGGGGCGGAGGCCUGAUGCGGCAACGCCGCGUGCGGGAUGAGGGCGUUCGGGUUGUAAACCGCUUUCGCCUGGGACGAAGUGUGAGUGACGGUAAGGAGUAAAGAAGCACCGGCGAUCGACG
rnacentral:rRNA from 1 species